GCCUCUGACCUUUCCAGAUUGAAUAUACCCGAUCUCGUCUGAUCUCGGAAGUCAAGCAAUCUCGGGCUUGGUUAGUACUUGGAUGAGUGACCGCUUGGGAAUAUCCACCACAGUGGUG
rnacentral:rRNA from 1 species